UUACUUUUGUUUCAGGAUGUACUGGAUCAUCUCUGCUGCUCAGAAGAAACAAACUGCUUGUCUAUGCAGUGCGGGUGUAUUACAAAUGUUUGCGAAAAAGUGGUGUCUGUAGAUAUUUAGGAAACUGUGCUGGAUUAUCUUAACUCGGAAGACUUAAAUACAGGGUUGAAGUUCUCGUUGCAGAUUUUGACAUGAAAUGGAGGAUGAUGUACUGGAUCAUCAAUUCUGCUCAGAAGAAACAAACUGCUUGUCUAUGCAGUGCGGGUGUAUUACAAAUGUUUGUAGAAAAGUGGUGUCUGUAGAUAUUUAGGUGAGCAUACCAUGAAAAGCCUUCCCAUUUCCCUUUAGUGUUUGUCUUUUUUUACUAGGAUGCCUCUAAUGGGCAAGUAGACGUAAUCUUGAGAAAUAAUUAUCUAUUUUAAGGGAACAGAUUCUAAGAUAUAACAUAUAAUGAACCUUGGGAGAAGAAAAUAUUGAUAAUGUACGUGAAUAUGAUUUCCUAAAGUUAAUAGGAUU